UACGAAGGGGGCUAGCGUUGUUCGGAAUUACUGGGCGUAAAGCGCACGUAGGCGGACAUUUAAGUCAGGGGUGAAAUCCCGGAGCUCAACUCCGGAACUGCCUUUGAUACUGGGUGUCUUGAGUGUGGAAGAGGUGAGUGGAAUUCCAGGUGUAGCGGUGAAAUGCGUAGAUAUCUGGAGGAACACCGGUGGCGAAGGCGGCAUCCUGGACCGGCAUUGACGCUGAGGCGCGAAAGCCAGGGGAGCAAACGGG
rnacentral:rRNA from 1 species